GACGAACGCUGGCGGCGUGCCUAAUACAUGCAAGUAGAACGCUGAAGGAGGAGCUUGCUUCUCUGGAUGAGUUGCGAACGGGUGAGUAACGCGUAGGUAACCUGCCUGGUAGCGGGGGAUAACUAUUGGAAACGAUAGCUAAUACCGCAUAAUAGUAGAUGUUGCAUGACAUUUGCUUAAAAGGUUCAAUUGCAUCACUACCAGAUGGACCUGCGUUGUAUUAGCUAGUUGGUGGGGUAACGGCUCACCAAGGCGACGAUACAUAGCCGACCUGAGAGGGUGAUCGGCCACACUGGGACUGAGACACGGCCCAGAGUACUACGGGAGGCAGCAGUAGGGAAUCUUCGGCAAUGGACGGAAGUCUGACCGAGCAACGCCGCGUGAGUGAAGAAGGUUUUCGGAUCGUAAAGCUCUGUUGUAAGAGAAGAACGAGUGUGAGAGUGGAAAGUUCACACUGUGACGGUAUCUUAACAGAAAGGGACGGCUAACUACGU
rnacentral:rRNA from 1 species